UGAGGGAUCUUGCACAAUGGGGGCAACCCUGAUGCAGCGACGCCGCGUGGGCGAUGAAGGUCUUCGGAUCGUAAAGCCCUUUUCCAGGUGACGAGUAAGGACGGUAGCCUGGGAAGAAGUCUCGGCUAACUACGUGCCAGCAGCCGCGGUAAAACGUAGGAGGCGAGCGUUAUCCGGAGUUACUGGGCGUAAAGCGCAAGCAGGCGGUUGGGCAAGUUGGGUGUGAAAGCGUGCGGCUAAACUGCACGAGGCCAUUCAAGACUGCCCGGCUGGAGGACGGUAGAGGGGCGCAGAAUUCGGGGUGUAGCGGUGAAAUGUGUAGA
rnacentral:rRNA from 1 species